AAUGGGGGCAACCCUGAUCCAGCAAUGCCGCGUGAGUGAAGAAGGCCCUCGGGUUGUAAAGCUCUUUUGUCAGGGAAGAAACGGAGUUCUCUAAUAUAGGAUUCUAAUGACGGUACCUGAAGAAUAAGCACCGGCUAACUACGUGCCAGCAGCCGCGGUAAUACGUAGGGUGCAAGCGUUAAUCGGAAUUACUGGGCGUAAAGCGUGCGCAGGCGGUUUUGUAAGUCUGAUGUGAAAUCCCCGGGCUCAACCUGGGAACUGCAUUGGAGACUGCAAGGCUAGAGUGUGUCAGAGGGGGGUAGAAUUCCACGUGUAGCAGUGAAAUGCGUAGAGAUGUGGAGGAAUACCGAUGGCGAAGGCAGCCCCCUGGGAUAACACUGACGCUCAUGCACGAAAGCGUGGGGAGCAAA
rnacentral:rRNA from 1 species